rnacentral:rRNA from 1 species
UACGUAGGGCGCAAGCGUUGUCCGGAAUUAUUGGGCGUAAAGAGCUCGUAGGUGGCUUGUCACGUCGGGUGUGAAAGCUUGGGGCUUAACUCCAGGUCUGCAUUCGAUACGGGCUGGCUAGAGGUAGGUAGGGGAGAACGGAAUUCCUGGUGUAGCGGUGAAAUGCGUAGAUAUCAAGAGGAACACCUGAGGUGAAGACGGGUUGCUGGGCCGACACUGACGCUGAUGCGCGAAAGCCAGGGGAGCAAACGGG